rnacentral:rRNA from 1 species
CGGCCGCUGGCGGCGUGCUUAACACAUGCAAGUCGAACGGAAAGGCCCCAGCUUGCUGGGGUACUCGAGUGGCGAACGGGUGAGUAACACGUGGGUGAUCUGCCCUGCACUCUGGGAUAAGCCUGGGAAACUGGGUCUAAUACCGGAUAGGACCGUGCUUUAGUGUGUGCGGUGGAAAGUUUUUCGGUGCAGGAUGAGCCCGCGGCCUAUCAGCUUGUUGGUGGGGUAAUGGCCUACCAAGGCGGCGACGGGUAGCCGGCCUGAGAGGGUGUACGGCCACAUUGGGACUGAGACACGGCCCAGACUCCUACGGGAGGCAGCAGUGGGGAAUAUUGCACAAUGGGCGCAAGCCUGAUGCAGCGACGCCGCGUGGGGGAUGACGGCCUUCGGGUUGUAAACCCCUUUCGGCAGGGACGAAGCUUUUGUGACGGUACCUGCAUAAGAAGCACCGGCUAACUACGUG